rnacentral:rRNA from 1 species
CGAACGCUGGCGGCAUGCCUAACACAUGCAAGUCGAACGAGACCUUCGGGUCUAGUGGCGCACGGGUGCGUAACGCGUGGGAACCUGCCCUUAGGUUCGGAAUAACUCCCCGAAAGGGGUGCUAAUACCGGAUAAUGUCUUCGGACCAAAGAUUUAUCGCCUUUGGAUGGGCCCGCGUUGGAUUAGCUAGUUGGUAGGGUAAAAGCCUACCAAGGCGACGAUCCAUAGCUGGUCUGAGAGGAUGAUCAGCCACACUGGGACUGAGACACGGCCCAGACUCCUACGGGAGGCAGCAGUGGGGAAUAUUGGACAAUGGGCGAAAGCCUGAUCCAGCAAUGCCGCGUAAGUGAUGAAGGCCUUAGGGUUGUAAAGCUCUUUUACCCGUGAUGAUAAUGACAGUACCGGGAGAAUAAGCUCCGGCUAACUCCGUG